rnacentral:rRNA from 1 species
AUUGAACGCUGACAGAAUGCUUAACACAUGCAAGUCUACUUGAUUCUACUUCGGUAGUUGAUGGUGGCGGACGGGUGAGUAACGCGUAAAGAAUCUGCCCUUUAGUUUGGGAUAACCUUUGGAAACGAAGGCUAAUACCGGAUAUUAUGGAGACGUCGCAUGGCGACUCCAUGAAAGCUAUAUGCGCUAGAGGAGGACUUUGCGUCCCAUUAGUUAGUUGGUGAGGUAAUGGCUCACCAAGACCGCGAUGGGUAGCCGGCCUGAGAGGGUGAUCGGCCACAAGGGAACUGAGACACGGUCCUUACUCCUACGGGAGGCAGCAGUGGGGAAUAUUGGACAAUGGGCCACAAGCCUGAUCCAGCAAUUCUGUGUGCACGAUGAAGGUCUUCGGAUUGUAAAGUGCUUUCAGUAGGGAAGAAAAAAAUGACGGUACCUACAGAAGAAGCGACGGCUAAAUAUGUGCCAGCCGCCGCGGUAA